GGUCAGCCGACUGUCACCUGGGCCACCCGUACCGCUACUGCCUGGUUGGCAGGCAACUCCGAAAGUAUGCCAGGCAUCUUUGCAAGGGUGGGGCAGCACAAAGUCAGACCAGAUCCAAAGCAGAAACAAUCUGAUACCCAUCACUAAUAGACUGGACGGAACAGAUAAACCAUGAUAAUACAAUAGAAACAAGUGAAAAUAAGCUACCCACAGUCAUAUGGAUAUUUAGGUUAUAUAGCCUUUGCUCACUGUGGUUUGAUGUCUGAAAGAGAACAUUAAAGACCUCAGUUCAUAGUUC
rnacentral:lncRNA from 1 species